UACGUAGGGGGCUAGCGUUGUCCGGAAUCAUUGGGCGUAAAGCGCGUGUAGGCGGUCCGGUAAGUCCGCUGUGAAAGUCGGGGGCUCAACCCUCGGAUGCCGGUGGAUACUGUCGGGCUUGAGUACGGAAGAGGCGAGUGGAAUUCCUGGUGUAGCAGUGAAAUGCGUAGAUAUCAGGAGGAACACCGAUGGCGAAGGCAGGUCUCUGGGCUGACACUGACGCUCAUGCACGAAAGCGUGGGGAGCAAACAGG
rnacentral:rRNA from 1 species